GAUGAACGCUAGCGGCAGGCCUAAUACAUGCAAGUUGAACGGUGUAGCAAUACACAGUGGCGCACGGGUGCGUAACACGUAUGCAACCUACCUUACAUUGGGGGAUAGCCUUUCGAAAGGGAGAUUAAUACCGCAUAAGACAGUAACUAGGCAUCUAGUAGCUGUUAAAGAUUUAUCGAUGUAAGCUGGGCAUGCGUCCAAUUAGUUAGUUGGCGAGGUAAUGGCUCACCAAGACGAUGAUUGGUAGGGGAACUGAGAGGUCAAUCCCCCACACUGGCACUGAGAUACGGGCCAGACUCCUACGGGAGGCAGCGGUAGGGAAUAUUGGGCAAUGGGCGCAAGCCUGACCCAGCCAUGCCGCGUGCAGGAAGAAGGCGUUAUGCGUUGUAAACUGCUUUUAUACAGGAAGAAACGACCCUUGCGAGGGGCAUUGACGGUACUGUAUGAAUAAGCACCGGCUAACUCCGUGCCAGCCGCCGCCGUAAUAC
rnacentral:rRNA from 1 species